rnacentral:lncRNA from 1 species
UUAUUACUCAGUUUCCUUCUAAGAUGACUUGGUAAUUGCAUUAGAACUUCUUGGUCAUGAAAUAAGUAGGGGAAGUACCAGAAUCAUAGAAACAUAUUGUCAAUGAAGCAUACAUUUACAGUGAUGUCGGUGUCAUGGUUUCUGUUGUACACAUGUAUGGAAUAUUUUAGGAUGCAUUGACCUAUGAUGAUGUGUAUGUGAACUUCACUCAAGAAGAAUGGGCUUUGCUGAAUCCUUCACAGAAGAGUCUCUACAAAGAUGUGAUGUUGGAGACCUACAGGAACCUCAUUGCUGUAGGCUACAAUUGGGAAGACAGUAAUAUUGAAGAACAUUGUGAAAGCUCCAGAAGACAUGGAAGGUAAUUUUCAUGUGCAGGUUGUUCUGAAUUUGCCUCUGAAGAAAUUUAACGUGUCCAG